UUUUUUUUUCUUUCAAAAUUUGAGUUUCCCUUUCAUCUUUCUCUAUCGUCUCAUCUAUUUGUUUAGCCCUAACAUAACAGAGACGAGAGAAAGACACACAGAGAGAGAGAGAGAGGCGAAGAGACGACGACGGAGGAACACGAUGGAGGGAACAACUGAGAGAGAUGGUGGAGGGGUGCGACGACGAAGGAUGGAGGAUGAUGGAGGGACACGACGCGGCUCAACGGCAAGGAAUAAUCAAGCUUAAUACAAAUGGGAGUAUCAAAGGGAAAUCUGCCUACGGUGGCUUCGGAGGGUUGUUAUGUGAUGGAAAGGGAGCUUGGGUCAGUGGUUACUAUGGAAGAUGGUCCCAAUGAGAAAUGCCCUUUCAAAGGACUAGUAGAAGAUGCUCAAAUCAUUUUCAGGGGCUACAAAUGCAAUCAUUUCAAUGGAUUUAAAGGACUUGCUCUCUUUUUUUUCCUUUUUGUUUUUUUUUUUUGUUUCAUUUGGUACUUUAUGAUGUAAUUUAGUGUAACGGUUGCAGUGGUACAUUUCAUAUUCGAGAAUACAAAUAUAGAUGGUUGCAAUUGUGUUGGUAUAUGAUUAACAAUAUAUUUGGUACUGCCUAAUAAUACGUUUUGUUUCAUUUGCUCUA